GGCACUCGGGCGCCCCAGCCCGGCUGUCCCCGCCCCUGUAGGCCCGGUCCCCCAGGGGUCGGGGGCCGAGCACUUGGUUACUGUGACUUCCUCGGCACUGACUCCACAAGUGCAACACUCUGGCCUGCGCGGCUCCCCAGGGGACCAGGAGCCUCACAGAAACCAAGGCAGGCCGCAAAGACAGGGCCUCCGGCCAGAGUGGAGCUGUGAGUGCACAUCCGGGCGUGGGCCAGUCCUCAUGGUCCAUUCUGAAGAGGCCCGGCUGGUGGGAAAAUGGGGGGUGGGGGGGCAAACACCCUGGAAGGGGGCUGCAGCAGUCCGCCUGGAGUCAGAGGAGCCAGGUGUCUGGAGGGGAGAAAGCCUUUGGGGCGUGGGUGGUGAACAGGCCUGGGAAAUGUGGAGAGUUGGGGCAGCUCAGCCCAAUGCACACUCCUCAGUUGGGUGCCUUUUUCCUAUGCUCACAGAGAGUUGGGGGCAGGGUGCACCGGGUGCCUAGGGGUGUGGGUGGGGAGGCAGCAUUAGGAUUCUGAGACCCAAAGGUGAAGAGUAUGGGUGUGAGGAGUGGGGUGAGGGCAACACCAAAUGAGUAGCCCCUCACUCCUCCGUGGGUUCCCUUCCCAAACUAGUGAGGCAUGGGGCUCAGGACACGUCUCACAGCCAGAGGUGGCAAGAGGGACCCCAUUUGUGUUCCUUACCCAACAUCAGAACUGAACGAGUGUCCCCCCAGUUCCCAUCUCCUCCCAUUUCUAGACUCCCACACUGGAAAGCAGGGCAGUGGGGCUGGGGAGCACAGGCCAAGUUCUGUGGUGAACUCCCGGCACGACCUGGGUCUUCAGCCCCAUCUUCCCAACAUCGGGAGCACCAAAUGAGCCCAUGGCUGGUCAGCAAGGGCCAGGCCCAGCUCAUGGAAACUUGGCAUUCAGAACUGCUUAACGGGCAUUGAGGCUGCUGUUUAUUUGCCAUGUAAAUCACAAGGGAAAACCGAGGCCUGGGAGGUCAGGGUGGAAGGAUUUGAGUGCAUGCUCAGCCCCGGAUCCCAGCUUCCGCAUCGGGGAGGCGCCUCAGAGACUGGUUGUUCCGGAGGUAGGGCCACCUCAGUCCCAAGGUCUCCCAUCUGUCCCAAGCGCAGGACUCUGAGCCUCAUGGACCUGAUGCCUGGUGUGCCCAGCACUCCUGCCACCUCUGGGCGCUGCACGGAGUCCACCCAUAGAGCCCCACCGAGGGCGCAGGUGAGAGUGGGAAAGGCAGGCACAACGGCCCUGAGCGCCUGGGUCAAAGCCUGGCUUCUCUCUCUUUGGCAGGUGCUCAGACCUAGCUCCUGAGCGAGACUAGCACUGGCCAGAGAAGAGCUAUGGGCAUGGCUGGUGGCAAGCUAGUGGCAGCGGGCUGGGCUGGUUGGCCAUUUUUGGGCCCCACUUGAGGCCCUUUGGAGCUGCUGCAGCGGUGGCAGGAACCGUGCUGGGCCCUGCAAGUCCUAAAUGUGAGCUGCUGGUUCUCACGCACACUGAGGCUGCUGCGCUCUCCCACGGUCUUCCUGGUUUGUCCACGGCCCAGGGAGGUCCCCUGUGCUAGCAGAUCCCCCCAUCAGGCUGAAAACCCAGAAUGCUCAGGGCUCGUGCCAUAUCUGGGGUCAUGUUCUCAGGAGCAGGGGUAUCCAAAAAACACAGGGGAGAACUGAUUCCCCAACAGGGCAGCCAUGUUGAGCAGUGUCAUCUGUGAAUGGUGCCCCCUGUGGGUAUGCAGCACGUGACUUGAUAGGACCAGGCUGCGCUACACAGGCAAAGGACGGGCCAGGGCCCCUGUGAUGCUCCCAGGGCCAGUCAGGAGGAGGGAGGUGCCCGGUUUAAGCUCAGUGGACAGAAGAAUUUCCUUGGAAGCGCCAUCACCCCUAUUGGAGCUGCCGUCCCAGGGAGGCAGAGAUCACGGUCAAGCGGAUGCCUCUGGGGAGGUACCCAGUGUCCUAGCCUGGGAGAGUGGACAGCAACACCCUGUGACGGUCCACAUGUCCCUAAGCUCUUCAGGACCUGGGGGGUGUCAGUCCACAGCUGACCCUUCCAGAGCAAUGGCUUCCUCCCAAGACUAGGGUGACCCUGGGGACCCAAGUGACACCCUGCCUCCUCACGCCUACCUGUUCUUCAGCAUUCCCUGAUAGCAUCCCCGGUCCUCUUGCUGGAACUGCAACGUCAUCAGCAGCUGGGGUGGAGAGGUGACGGGUUGGGGUCCAGCUGGAGGUGGAGGGUUGCAUAUCUGGAGCCUGUAGGAGCUGCACAGUCAUCUGUAUAAAAGCCAGCGCAUGGUCCAGACAGGGAGAUCAGCUAGCUGGGCCCAUGGCUGGGCUUAUCACAGCUGGUGGAGAAGGCAGGGCCUCGGAGUGGCUCGGGCCUGCCUUAUCAGAGGCUGCAGAAACUCCCCUGCCCUGCAUAAGGGGUGGGACUGGGCCGGCCUUCUCCAGGUGACUUUCAGCCCCCCACAAAGAGGGGGGAUGCUCCCCGGCCCACUUGGAGCAGGAGUCACCAGCUUCACAGGUCCCAGGGACAGGAGUGGAGGAGGCCAGACCAGGAGUCAGAAGACAGUGAGGGUGCUGGGAGUAGGGGGAGGGGAGGUGGUGGGAGAGGACCCUCAGGCUCCUGCUACUGCAGACAGAAGUAGAAAAGACCCAGCGGUGUUUGGACUAGGAUGAUCCAACAAUCCCUGGGCCCAGAGCCCAGCCUGGAGUCCCCUAGGGUAGUUAGGACAGCAGAGUCCCCCUCCAAGUGGGUGUAUGACUGAGCCCUGGACAUGGCCCUGCACACCUGUGGCCCUGCCCUGUACUUCAACCUCUGCUCUUUGUUCUUGGAACAGUACCUGGAGCGGGAAGGCAGUGCAAGGGCUUCUAUCCAGCCCAGAGACACUUUCCCAAGCUUUGGGAAAAUCCAGCCACCAUGCAUCCAACCCCCUUCCCACUCUUGGUUCAGAUGGGAAGGCUGGGACUGGAGUAGGGAAGAGUUGCUCAGCGUCAGGACUUGAGUUGGGGGUGGGCCUGGCCACAACAUACUCCCAGAGGCACUGCUGACACAGCAGUCACUGCAGAGAGGUCUGGAGGCUGAAAGGAGCCCCUAAGAUCCUGGGCUGAAUGUACCUGCAGGAGACGCUGGUGCCAGGCCUGCAGGGCCAGGGCGGAGCUGGAGCAGCCAGACGACCCAAGAGCUCACAGGCCCAAAUGGGGGCUCGAUGGGGUCAGCGGAAUGGCCUACCCAGGCUCAGGCACGGCCCUCCUGUGGGGACAGCUACUGACGCUCACCCAGCAUUCUCCAGAUCUAGGGGCCUCAGGAAAGAGCUGGAAGGGAGAAUCACAUCCCUGCUUUAGAAGGUGGCUAUGUACUUGCUGGCACCAGGGGGCAGUUGCCCUGAAAUUUAAAGAGGAAGAACUGCACAGACUCCAGGAGCUGAACGAGGCCGGCCACCACCUGCUCCUGACGGGGGUGCUUUCCCUCCACUCUUCCUUUUCCUCCCCACGACACCUCCCCCAUUCCGCCGUCCACCCCACUCUCUUCUCCAGUGCCCUGUUUUUCUUGCCAUAAACCAAUUAGUCUCUUCCUCCUUUUUAGGAUGCCCCCUCGCUUUGUCCCAGGCUUCCUUCUCUUCUGCCUCUUCCUCAUUGUGCCCCAGAGUUCACGUGUUCACUCAUUGAGUCAUUCAUCAAGCAUUUAUUGAGCAUCUACUGCAUGUCUGGCUCGCUUCUGUACACAGGAGAACCAAAAGUGAAUCAGACGGCUCCUUAUCCCCCAAAGCUUAUGGCUUGGGGAACACAAUCAUCGAGGCGACAAUUAUAAUUAACUGUGAAGUUGAGGGGAGAGGUGCUGUGGGAGGUGCGGGGAGACAGCAGAUAGGGAAGUCCUCUCCCAGAGGGCAUUUCUGGGCCCUUGAAUCCUCACAGAAGGAUGAAGAGGCACUUGCCAGGAAGGAAGGGCAUUUUAGUAAGAGGGAAGAGGCUGUGCAAAGCCCCAGAGGGGAGACGGAAAUGAGGCUGUGGGAACGGCCCCUGGGAGAGGGGUCCCAGAGAACCGUCCCACAGCAGCUAGAGCAAGGGCUCCAUGUCCCGGGCUCUGUCUGUCUGAUUUCAACUCGUUCGGUUGACUACCUCCUCCAGCCUAGCUUCCUCCCUCCGCCUCUUGGGCAAAUGUAUGUGUGCACAGGUGCACAGAUGGACACACACAGACAUGGGCACAAAGUCACAUACACGCAACAAGAUACACAUCAGAUGCUCACCUGGAAAUGGACACACCCCCAAAUGUGUGCAUGCACUCACAGGACUAACCAGACACCGAGGGUCCAUGCUCUGCUCAGGGGCCUAACGGAGCUGCCAAGCCAUGCUCAUCUACUCCUUCGGCCAGACCAAUGGCUCAUCCACUUGGGACCUGGGUGUGGGCCUCAUGGCAGGUGAAUUGGCCAAAU